GUGGGUAUAGAUCAGUGGUAAGAGUGUGUGCCUAUCAUGUGCAAGGUCCUGGGUUCAAUCCCCAGUACCUCCA
rnacentral:tRNA from 1 species